UGGUCUUCAUUCUCCUGCAGCUGCUCAGGAUCCGAGCCUGCGCAGGGGCUGGCGAGGGGGCCAUGGCUGGGGUGCUGGUCAUGGCCUGAGGCCCUGCUGGAGCCGCAGCAGAGAGGUCUCGGGCUGAAGGUGGUGCCCGCUGGUACCCGCCUGUGUGUCCAAUUUCCUCUAUGCCAGUCACAUCUGGGAGUUUUCCUCAGGGGUAAGAACAACAGCCUCGAUCCCCAAAAUGUAUUUCCUGUGCUGAGUCACUAAUGCUGAAUUGAGAUCCCGAGCAGGGCCCCAGGGCAGGUGGAAACUGAGUGUGAGUCAAGUGCCCUGCUGGGCUCCGAGCGUUCCCGUGGUGGGAACGGACUCCUUUCCAGAAGUGGCACAGCUGGGCUUGGGGAGCUGUUGGGCCAGCAGAACUGACCUCGGAGCUCACCACUCCAUCCAGAGCGUGCUUGCUGAGACAGCUGAGCCCGGAAAAUGCAAGAGUGCUUGUAUCUCCUGCCCUGGGUCAUGGGAGAAAAUAGCCCUUUCCUCAUUUCAGCCCAGGCAGAGACGGAAAUGCUGAAGAGCACAACGGGGACCCUAGCUGGAUACCCGCCAGCUAAGGAACUCUGCAGCCAAGGCACGGCUUGGCUUCCUGCGGAGGCAGACUUUAGUUUCAUGGACUUCUCCACCACCUUGUGGCCGGCACCAUUAGCACAUCUGAGACACAGAAUCCACACCAACUUCCUCGCAACCUUCUUGAGGGCAGCCAUGUCCUCCGGGGCCUCAGAAAACGCUCCUCCUCCAUCCCCUCACCCAUGUACUAGUGAACAAAGGCACGUCAGCUCAAACCUGUGAUCCAGUGGGAGUCAGGAGACCCGCAAACUUACUCUGCACAAGAGUGGGACAGACUCCUCACUUCAGCCUUGGGGACCCCCAGCCAAGCCCAGUGACAUGUGGAGUGAAUGAACGAU
rnacentral:lncRNA from 1 species